rnacentral:rRNA from 1 species
GAUGAACGCUAGCUACAGGCUUAACACAUGCAAGUCGAGGGGUAACAAGAGAAAAGCUUGCUUUUCUUGUUGACGACCGGCGCACGGGUGAGUAACGCGUAUCCAACCUGCCUAUAACUAGGGAAUAACCUUGCGAAAGUAAGACUAAUGCCCUAUGACUUCCUUUGGCGGCAGCAAAAAAGGAAUAAAGAUUUAUCGGUUAUAGAUGGGGAUGCGUCUGAUUAGCUUGUUGGCGGGGUAACGGCCCACGAAGGCAACGAUCAGUAGGGGUUCUGAGGGGCAGUUCCCCCCCAUUGGAACUGAGACACGGUCCAAACUCCUACGGGAGGCAGCAGUGAGGAAUAUUGGUCAAUGUGCGGAAGCCUGAACCAGCCAAGUAGCGUGCAGGAUGACGGCCCUAUGGGUUGUAAACUGCUUUUAUACAGGGAUAAAGUUAGCCACGUGUGGUUAUUUGCAGGUACUGUAUGAAUAAGGACCGGCUAAUUCCGUGCCAGCCGCCGCUGUAA